AUAGGAACUUAGACAACCUUUAAUAUAUAAACCUUGGGAUAAAACUCGUUAGAACCGUUCUUUGAAAAUAACAGAUGGCCGACGUCUUAAGUUGUCAUCAAACUCGUUGAAGAAAAAUAGAGUUAAAUAAAUGAACGUUAUUCAAGAAAACUAAUAAAUCUUUACCCACAAGUUAUGUUAAAUAAGAAAAUAAAAUUAUCAUCCGACUCACUGCGAAAAAGAAAGGAUUGGAGUUCAAUGUGGUAUCUGGAUUAUGGAUUGUCUCUUGUGUUCGGGCACUAACUAAUUUUCUGGAUUGUCUACAGGAUUCUUCUUACGGGAAAUUGAACUGCUUGUUCUUCGGAAAUAGGGUCUUGGAUGAUCUCGAAGAAGUAUCAGUAGUUCUCGGAAUAGGUUGUAGGAUGAUUCUCUUUUUAUUUUAAUAUCACAUACAUUGGAGUACACGCCAAAUUUCAACAAUGAGUAAAGUUAGAAAAAUUCAAAUUUAAAUCAAGGAUUUCUUCCUCAAAAUAACGUUAAAACCUCAAAAGAUGGAUGAAAAAUGUGCUUUAGGAGCUGAACUAUAAUAAUUGAUACUAUUGGAAGCAAACAAAACGGUUUAAGAUAAGAUUUUCAGCAACAAAAAAUCUCUCUGUCACAAUUUCUAGGUUAUGUUCUCUCGGUGAACUAAGAGAAUGUUAAAAUUAUCACAAUACUAAUUAUGCUUUAUUAUAUUAUACUGUUAUAAUUUCACUAUCUCCUAAAAAUUCUACUCGGAAGUAUUUGACAUCUGUUAAUCAAUAGUUAUGUUUAUAAGUCAAUACAACCUUAAAUAGAGUUAAAUAUCGAUGAAAAUGAGUAAUUUUUGGGAGUCGUUCUCUGCAACUUUUGUACAAACAGGGAAAAAUGGUAAUCGAAAACGAGUUCGAUUCAAAAAAGAACAGACGCAGCUACAUAAAGGCCGAAUCAAACAACUACAUCAAAAUACGUGCUUAUAAAAUUGCUUUGUAGUGAAUCAGAUACAAACAAAAUGCCAACAAACAAACAAAAGGAACACUUAUACAAGCACUAACAAAACCAAAAAAAUAAAUGAAUUCUCCCAAUCAACAUGGAUACACGCACACAGCGAUAAAGUGAAGGAACUAAAUAAAGAAUUUUAAUUACAUUUUAUUGUUAUUCCACAAAACAACAUAUACCCCGCUUUGAACUGGCAAUAAAAUUAAAAGAAAACACUUUUGUAUUCAAGAAUUCAGAAUCAAAUACAAUAUUCAUCGGAUAUAAUUUAUAAUGCGAAAACAGAAUUGAGACUUGACCGCAAAGAUCGAUCGCUAUUAUAAAUAUAUUAAUUCCCGCAUAACUAACAAGCUAACACUCAAAGUCGAAAUUAUGCCUCGGAAUGCAAAUGCUGUACAUAAAAUGGUGAAAGGUUAUUUCACGUUGAAAAUAAUUGUAAAUGACGCUCCUCCAGUGACAUUAAUUACGUAUGCGAGAAGUUUAGCUUUUGCCCACACAAUCCAAAACAGGAAUGAAGCAAAAAAAAAACAUAGAAAUAUUAGAUUAAAUGCACUGCAACUUUAACAGAAACGCGUAAAGUAGACGGGAUAGAACAUCGACGAAUUCAACAAACGAAAAAGUUUGAAACAAAUUUUGAUGUUUUGGGUGCCAUCUUGCAACCUUCUUCAGAAGCAAGUUCGAGGUUAACUACCAGGACACAGCAAAGAGGACCUAAGGUUGCUCUCAGGUUUCCUGUCCGGCCAUACACCCCUAAAAUACCACCUCUUCAACAUUGGACAAGCUGAAGAGCAAAUUCUAUGAACAUAUUCUAUGUGAAUGUGUCGCCGCAGGGCGCCUAAGACACAACAUUUUCGCCUGAUACCUACUGACAUAAAGGAACAAGACCUUGGAGCAAUACUAAAACAUGUUAAUGUCAAUAGUUUUUUGUCACAAAAAAAAUAAUUUUUAAAUACAUACAACGAUAUUAGAAAGUCCUAUUUAUAAAAACCAAAUAAGACUCUUAUUCGAAGUUUCAAAUGAGGUGGGAUAUGUGAGUUUUCAAGACGUUGAUUAUAAAUGGCUCUAUCAACUGACAGCUAAUCUAUUCAAUAUAGUAGCGUCUUGUAAGUUUAGUGCAGAAACUGGGAAAUCAUUUGGGGUUCAUUGGUUGGGUGAAGCACCGUAUCCAAUUGAUGGAUCACAUGAGUUUCAACAAGAACCCAGGAGUGUUGCUAUGAAUAUUAUCCGUAAGUAGCUUGAUUAUAUGGUCAUUCUGCCGCCCAUUAGUCUUUAUCGCUAAGUCUAACCGAGGUGCUUGGUUCAUGUUUUGCAAUACACGUUGACAGUGAACUGUAGAUCAGUGCAAAUAGAAUAUCUGGAGCGACAAAUCAAAGUCCAACCUAGAACCGUUUGGAUAGUAAGGUCUGGAUCUAGCCUUAGCUGAGAAAACACUUCCUGCCCGAAUGUAUUGUGCCAAUAGUAAAGUUUAGCGGAAUUGGGCUUAUAUAGUUUGGGCAUAUGCUUACUGCAUGUUCGAAGCCCAGAACCCUAUUGAGAACCUCUAGGACUAAUUGGAUAGCCGAGUUAGGAGGUGCAACAAUCAUCCCAAAUCGGCGAAAGAACUUAUGAGUUUUCUCUAAGCCGAGUAGAAGAAAAUAUCAGAAGUCAUCAUACAAAUACUUGAGGAAAGCAUGCUAAGGAGGUUUGACUUUACAUAUAAGUAAAUCCAUUAAAACUAAUUUAUUUAGAAAAGCUCAGGAUUUCCUUCAUAAAAUCAUUAGGUACGUUUACAAUAAAAAUUACGAACAUAUAUUUAUUAGAACAUAGUUUGCAUGUUAUUAAAACAACCCAAAAAGUAUGUUUUUUACCUUUCUAAAAAAUAAAACAACUUGAAAAAGUAAACCCAUUCAUUAUAAAUCCAUUAAGCUUCAAUUGAUGGAACAGCAACCUUUUGGUAAUUUGAAAAUCGAUUUUACCUAUACACGAAUAUUACAGUCCUUAUUCACAAAGUAAUAAAACAUAAAAGAAAUUACGUUGCGCCCUUUUACCGAGGUAAUA
rnacentral:lncRNA from 1 species